GUGUUAGCUGCCCCAGCACAUGUACUAAAAUUGGAGCGAUGCAGAGAAGAUUAGCACGGCCUCUGCGCAAGGAAAACGCGCAAAUUCGUGAAGCAUCCCUUAUUAAA